rnacentral:tRNA from 1 species
GCCAGAAUAGCUCAGUUGGGAGAGCGUUAGACUGAAGUUGUUUACGCAACAGUCAUCUAAAGGCCCCCGGUUCAAUCCCGGGUUCCGGCA